GGGGCCAUCGUCUAGCUUGGUCAAGGAUACCAUCUCUGUUGAAAUUACUUAAUCUCGCUGAGGUAUUGGCCCGGGGCGCUGGCGGUCGUGGGUUCAAAUCCCACUGGCCCCA
rnacentral:tRNA from 1 species